rnacentral:rRNA from 1 species
UACGGGGGGGGCUAGCGUUGUUCGGAAUUACUGGGCGUAAAGGGCGCGUAGGCGGCACGGCAAGUCGGGAGUGAAAGGCCUGGGCUCAACCGAGGAACUGCUUUCGAGACUGCCGAGCUAGAGUGCGGAAGGGGCAACCGGAAUUCCCAGUGUAGCGGUGAAAUGCGUAGAUAUUGGGAAGAACACCUGAGGCGAAGGCGGGUUGCUGGGCCGACACUGACGCUGAGGCGCGAAAGCCAGGGGAGCAAACGGG